CAAAGAGACUUAACUCUUUUUUUUAAAGAUGGGGUUUCACCAUGAUGGCCAGGCUGGUCUUGAACCCCUGACCUCAGGUGAUCCACCCACCUUGGCCUCCCAAAGUGCUAGGAUUACAGGCCUGAGCCACCGUGCCGAGACUUAACUCUUUACACUGCCUCCUCAGUGUUAUGACUACUGCCAACUCCUUAACAAGCAAACAGUCAUAUUGCAACUCCCUCUUCCACAUGAUCAAAACAGAACCAGGAAGUCCAUCAGUCUUGACUACGAAUAAAAAAAAUGAAAUUAGGAACUGGGGAAGUGGGCCAUAGGAAAAUAUUUCCAAUACUUGGUCUCUCUCUUCCAUGUCUGGAAAUGUGGGUUUUCAAACACUGAAGAUUUCCAAUACUUGGUCUCUCUCUUCCAUGUCUGGAAAUGUUGGUUUUCAAACACUGUCUCCCACUGUGAAAAAGGAGAUGUUUUAGAAAAAAAAAAAGAACAAGGGCAGAACUGGGAGACCAGAGGCCUCUUCCCUUGAAGCACUCUAUAAGCUGGGAAAGAAACAAAACAACAUGGCUCCAGGUUUUUUUAUCUUUGUACCUUCUUGAAAUGAAACUCAUCAGGUGAAACUGAUUUUAGGCACAUGCAAAGUCAUCUGACUGAGUUUCUCUAAGCAAAAAGAACAAAAAAGGUAACCUGAUGGUCACUUUGCUACAGACAUACUCAGAGCCUGUCUGAGGGGAAAUGCCCGGGGCUGUGGAACUCAGGAUCGGUAUCAGGCAGCUCUGCCUCCCAGGCUGCUUUGGGUUUCUGCUCAAACGAUUGCCUCAUUUUGAGAUUGUUCAAGCAUGUUAAAACUGUAGACAGCUGAGCGGCACAUCUAUUCAAUGACCAUUUAAACUACACAACUGGAAUUUAUCACAAGUACAAGGGAAAGGAUGAAUCGUUAGAAAAUCAAACUUGGAAAAUCUCCACACUCGAUCAAACAGUUAUGUUUUCUGUUCAGGGAACUCAGCACUGCAGCUGUAAAGCAUUCACAAUAUACAGCCUCCUCUCAGUGUGUGAAAAAGAUCUGAAGUCGAGAUGUAUACAGCAAAAAAAAUGUCAUAAAAUAUGUAGAGAAGGGAAUUUGAGAUGAGCUAAAAAUUAAGAAGAGGGGAGUGUUGGUUAACACAAUCACGAUAAUCAAGGUCUGUAUAGAUAACUAAAAUUGGGCUUCUUUGAGUUUCCAUAUGAUCAAUAUUGAAAGGAAAACUCUUCCAUAAACAAUAUCCAGAGUGUGCCAGUUUAAAGUACCUUUAAACUUUUUAAAUUUGUUUUCAAAGUUUCGUUUUUAUCUUUAUUGUUGCUCUAACAGAUUCCGGCAGUAUUCGGUGGAAAUCCUCUGAAUUAGCCCCAAGAACAGCCAUUUUUGUUUUGUUUUUCUAUGUCAGUUGAAAGCUACUUCCUAGAGAUUGACUGAAACACCAUCACUGAAAGUAUAUUUCAAAGGCAACAGAUAUUGCAACCCUUGGAUAUCAGGAAAGAGUUCCUAGAGAGAGAAGACGAAGAGGGUCUGUGCUGCAAAAGAAGCCCCAGGCUGAAGACUGGAGAUCUGAAUGUGCACCUUGCAAGGGAACUGAAGACAACGAAACUGACGUCAGGGAAGUGGCAUGCUCAAAGCUUGUGUGGAGGGGAUGAAAAUUCCAUGUUUAGGAUUUGCUCAUCACAGCAAACAUGUAAAACCAAACGGCAGGGUAGGACCUUCCUUAACAUAGGAUUGAGUGAAAACAGUCCUUCAGAAAGAGAUUUCAUCCACUGAGUCAUCUCCCACACAAGGUGACCCGCUGGACUUAGGUGUUUACAAGGGUGAGAGUCUGCAUUUUUGACACCGGGAAUUAUUUUUCUCUCGACAGGUCAAGUUGACAAGGAGUCUCCGUGUAGAGGCCAUCAAAGCAAUUUUGAUCAAAACGCUUGGAAGCAAGAUGAUGAAGUUUUCUGUCAAAACAAUAAAGUGACUAAAUCCGUGAGCAUGUUGUGUUUGGCGUUCAUGGGAGUCCUCAGCGGCAUGCCUGGAUAUCCGUCUCGGGAUUUGGCUUCGCCCCGGAAAGCUUCUGAGAAGCUGU